AACGCACAUUGCGCCCGCCAGUAUUCUGGCGGGCAUGCCUGUUCGAGCGUCAUUUCAACCCUCAAAACCCCGGUUUUGGUGUUGGAGAUCGGCAUGAGUCCUUCGGGGCGACGCCGUCUCCCAAAUAUAGUGGCGGUCUCGCUGUAGCUUCCUAUGCGUAGUAGCACACCUCGCACUGGAAAACAGCGUGCCCACGCCGUUAAACCCCCAACUUUCUGAAGUUUGACCUCGAAUCAGGUAGGAUUACCCGCUGAACUUAA
rnacentral:misc_RNA from 1 species